AAUUUGUGUUUCUUAUCAUUUGUUGUGUUCAUAGCUAUGACAUAUCAGAUCAAAUACUUAUAUGAAGGCAUAUGGAAACCAUAAAAUAAUUUUGUGUAACAAAAUAGCAUUGUAUCACCCCAAAUAUAGAGAACACUCAUGUAAAUAAGUUGGUAAACUCAAUUUUUCCCUUUACCAUGCCAAAGAAAAUUUUAGCUCCUUGAUGAUACCUCUCUUGCUAUUUUUCUGGAACAAGGUCAUCAUUCCUUCCCUCAGAAAUUCAGUUUGCUACCAUUAAAUGCAAUCUGUCAUCACUGAUGUUCUGUAUAGUAAAUCUGAUGGAACACAUUUGUAUUUAUAGACUGUGUGUUUUAUAUCUUCCUGUAUGUAUGUUCAUUGUACCAAGUCUAUAGAACCAUUCCUUCUGCAUGCAUAUCUGGUAGGGGAGGGUUAGUUCUAUCACCUUUUUUAUGGUACCUGAUUGCUUUGCUUAUCCAUCAACAGUGCUCAAUGUUCAUCCUCUGCAUAAUUCAAGCAACAUCAUAUUUGUUUUCAAAUAAGUUUAGUUCCUGAAAAUUUUUUACUACUUUCCUUGGGAAAAAUUAUGAAAGACACACAAACAGUUUGUUCUGUGUAAAGAGCAAAAGGAAUUGAGCACUUUCCCUAUUAUUUUGGAGAAUGUAGAGUCUUGCUUUAAGUGUUUGCUUGUUCUGGGUACUUUGGGUGAGGAUUAGAUCAAUAAUGGACACUACAACUUUUUCUCUAGUGUUUCUAGUUAUGGGCUUUUUAGAAAGUAAGCAAAAUGUAUCAUAUCUGACCAUUUAAUUAAUGAUUCAACUACUAAACCAUCUUUUUCUUCUCUCUCUCUCUCUAGAGUGACCAAUAUCAGAUUUGGUUCUUUAAACAAAAACUAAAACAACAACCACAAAUCUUUUGUUGUUCCUUAAAGUGAAUAUGUAUUACUUUGUUAAUUUUUUCCAAACAUCACACGUAUAAUAUGUGUUUAAUAUUUCUCAAUGAUAGUUAGUGAGACUAAACUGACCAAGGUUCAAAUUAGAAGAAACAGAAAAUGGUGGAAAAUGACUUUCUAUUUUAGGAAAAUAUUAUAUCCUAGGGGAACAAUUAGGCCAAAUUUCUAAAUAUUUUCUGGAGCACAAGCUUAGUCAAAUCCAGAAUGUAAAUUGUGUUGUUCUGGAUUAAGAGACAUAGAUAAUUAAGAGUUUUAGAAAGUGAAACACAAGACUGAGUAAGUGUCUGGAAUACUGAGUAGCUUUCAGAAAAGUUGUGACAGUUGAGCGUGUAAAUUAAGACUACACUGUAUUUUUUUUCUUGUUCUAGGUUCUCAUUUAGUAUAAUUCUGACAUUUACUGGUGAGCUGAUAGAGAUAAGUCACUUAUUCUCUGGUGCUGCUAGACUCCAGAUGAACUCAGGAUUCCUGAAAGGAACAAUGGUUCUCUUCCUAAAUUUAGAACUUUUGUCCCCUAGAGGAAUUCUUCAGUUAUGAUUUGCUAAAUAAGCACGGCGAAGAUCAUCAAAAUUGGUGAACUUAAUGUCUCCUUUUCAAUUAUCAUAUAUCCCAGUGUAAUUUUUGAAAACCACAAGUAAGCCAAAGAGAUUUGUUUGUUUUCUUCUACUCAUUAUGAAUUUGUCCUUGCUUGGCAUUCUCAAAAAAGGUAGUUUCUAUCUUGGAGUCAAAGUAUAGAAACAUUUAGAUAGGAGACAGGUUAUAUUCUUGUCUAUCACCAUGUGCUUUAGUUUUGGUUCGAUUUCUUCCUCUUCCUCUUCCUUUUCCUCUUCCUCUUCCUCCUCCUCUUCCUCCUUCUUCAUCUCCUCCUCCUCUUCUUCCUCACUUUCCUCCUCCUCUUCCUCCUUUUACUAUAAAAGUGUGUGAAAUCUAUCACUUCUUCAUAGGUAAACUGAUGUUGGCAUGGCUAGGGCCAAAUACAGGUAGACAAACAGACACACAAAUAUUAGCAAAUAAAAUUAAUCUUUUUUAAAAAAUCUGUUUUCCAAGAAAAAGAACUGAUUAGAGUUUAAGUUACCGAGGCAAAUACUACAGCUUUCUUCCAUAGUCUAUAACAGUGUACCCCAGAACACGGUGACCUACAACAUAUUUUCAUGUUGUCCAAAAUUCAGGACAUAGCACACUUUAUUCUUCAUGAAAGAAAACAUUUUUCCAAUGUCUUAAACUCUAUUCUGAGAACCCCUAAAUGGUCAGGGUAUUGCAACACUUUUUUCUUAUGAAAAUAUAAGAAAGUAACACACACUUUUAUGAUAGAUGCAAUUUAUAGAAAUGAUAAAAACUAGAGAGGAAAAUAUAACAAUUAAAAAAGACGUGCUUAAUGAGAAGGGCCAUAAGGAACUGAAAGUAACUCCAGGGAAGCAAGGUCUGGCAAACUACCACACACAGCUGUGAUUAAAGCCAGCCCACAAGCUGUUUAUGUAUGGCCUGAGAGUUCAGGGUAGAUUUUAUUUAUUUGUUACAGUUUUAAAAUAUUACACAUGAAAAAAGACGCUCCCUCAGUGGUUUCUCUAAUAGGCAUUAUCCAGAUUUUUAUAGAAGGCUGAGUCCUAUAGUAAGAAAAGCUGAAGGCCAUUGUACCAUGAUGGGAAGGUUAGUGACUCUUAAUGCUUGGAAGUCGCCCACCACAUCAUCAGAACUGGUAUUGAAUUAUUAUAAUUGUUUUUUUUUUCUGGUUUAAAAUCUAUUUAGAGAGAUGGAAAAUAU
rnacentral:lncRNA from 1 species